rnacentral:tRNA from 2 species
AGCUCUGUGGUGUAUGACAUGUCGGAUUGCAAAUCCGAAGGUGCAGGUUUACCUCCUGCCGGGGCUU